UACCACCUCAAGUCCGAUGUGGGUUUGGUGUUUAAAAGCGCCGAUCCCCUCAUCUUCAGACUUGGAUUUGAGUGAUCCUAACACAUUCACUUUAUUUAUAUUGUGAAAGUGGCAGGCCACUUGAAAUGCAGGUGCGGCUGAACAUUCUUCUGAGCUAAAAGCAUAUUUAUUUAGUCUUGCUUCAUUGCUGGAUUAUUACUUUUUGCUGCAGCUAACAUAAAGGAAUGAAUGUUCUUGGCUGACUGAUGCAGGAAUUUAACAGAUCUUUUUUAUAGAGAACUGUGAA
rnacentral:misc_RNA from 1 species